rnacentral:piRNA from 1 species
UAAACCCUUUUGAGCAGUCUCCAGUAAU